AAGCAAUUUGCUCAUAGCCAUAGCUUUCUUGUGAAAGUAGGAUAUUAACCCAGGUGUCUUGGUGCUGGAGAACAGAACUGGCCAGAGUCCAUCCUGUCUCCCACCGGCAUCCCAUUACGAAAUGAACACAGAAAAGGCAGGUCUGCAAUGCCAACAUCUAGUAUCUAUCCCAAAGACCAGGGAGAAAGGAAGGAAAGAUUCUGGUUCUGUCCUCUUCCCCAAGGCAAGGCUGGCUGCCCUACCAACAGAGGCAAAGAGAAGAGUGUGCAAGGCUGGCUGCCCUCCCAACAGAGGCAAAGAGGAGUGUGUGUUGAAAUAUCCAUUGAAUCCCUGAGACAACUGGAUCCUGGCCCAUUGAAUCAUAAACUCAUUAUGGAGGCUGGGAAGACCUAGAAUGUGGCAUCACUAUUUGGUAAGAACCUUCCUAUGUCAUUGUAGAGUGAGGGACUUGGGUACCACAUGGCAAGGCAUAGUACCCAAAUCCCUUUCCUUCAUAAAAGUAUUAAUGUCAUCAAAGAGGCCCCACCACCAUGAUGCCAUCUGGGGCCUCAUGACCCCAAUGCCUGAUGCCAAAGACUCCCACCUCAAAAUACUUUUUUCUUCAGCAUAACAUUUUAUUAAUUAUCUGGGAAUUUCACAUCAUGUACUCCAAUCACACUCAGUUCCCAGUCCUUCCAUGUCAGCCCCCACCCUUGUUACUUGCCCCCCAAAAGAGGAAAAUUAAAACUAAGAAUUAAAAAAAAUUAAAAAAAUUAAAAUACACAAGUCCAAUUUAUGUUACCUAUAUACUCACUGAAGCAUGGUCAGAUUCUCAGUGGCCUGGCCCUUAAAUAGAAGUGAGUCUUCCCCCUCCUGCAUCUGAAGCCAUUAAUUGCGUAGAGCUACACUUCAACAUCUACAUCACACUUUCAAAGAGUUCUCUUCAGUGGAUUCCUGUUCUAGACCAUUACUUUGGAGACAGGGGUAGGGGAUUGUCACAAAAAGCCUUCCAUGUCCCUUCGUCUCAGUUGUACACCUGCAGUCAUCAAUAUCCCAGUGUAACUAGUCCCCUUGUUCUUCAUAGUUAGUGGAAACAUGGAUCAUGGGCCUCUCAAGGUUUCUGAUAACAUCCCAGACCAUGAACAUGGCCCUCAGGUGCAGGAGGACCACAGAUCCAGACAAAGACCAGAUCACAGCCAUAAAAAUAGCCUCAGGUGGCAGCAAAGGCCACUCAGAUUAGUAUGGCCUUUGGUGGCAGCACUAUCCAUAAACAUCAACGUAGCUUCAGGCAGCAGCACAGACUGUGAACAUCUCAUGGUCUUCAGUGGUAACACAAGCCAUGGAUAUCUACCUACAGCAGAACCAUAUAUAGAUUUGAUAAGUUUCCACACAUGAACCCAGGACACAUUUAAAUCAUGGCAGUCUACAUCCUGAUCCUUCCCUUGUC
rnacentral:lncRNA from 1 species